UACAGAGGGGGCAAGCGUUGUUCGGAAUUACUGGGCGUAAAGGGCGCGUAGGCGGCCAACUAAGUCCGACGUGAAAUCCCAAGGCUUAACCUUGGAACUGCGUCGGAUACUGGAUGGCUUGAAUUCGGGAGAGGGAUGCAGAAUUCCAGGUGUAGCGGUGAAAUGCGUAGAUAUCGGGAGGAACACCAGUGGCGAAGGCGGCUAUCUGGGCUGAAACUGACGCUGAGGCGCGAAGGCUAGGGGAGCAAACGGG
rnacentral:rRNA from 1 species